CCAAUGUGGACAUCCAGUGAGGUUCCUCUCAUCUGGCUCUGUCUUCAUGGCGUAUGGGAGCAUAGACCUAUGGUCUAUGAUGUACAGUCCUCUUCCAUGACAUUGGAGAGAGGUAUGUCCCCAGCCUCUAGGCUGGUGAGGACAGCAUCCUGUAUAUUCCUAGGCCUUCUCAGUCUUUGCAAUGUCUGAGGAGAUAAACCAUGCAGGAUACAAUU